rnacentral:rRNA from 1 species
CUAUGUGUUGUUGGGUAGGGGAGCGUUCUGUAAGCCUGUGAAGGUGUGCUGUGAGGUAUGCUGGAGGUAUCAGAAGUGCGAAUGCUGACAUAAGUAACGAUAAAGCGGGUGAAAAGCCCGCUCGCCGGAAGACCAAGGGUUCCUGUCCAACGUUAAUCGGGGCAGGGUGAGUCGACCCCUAAGGCGAGGCCGAAAGGCGUAGUCGAUGGGAAACAGGUUAAUAUUCCUGUACUUGGUGUUACUGCGAAGGGGGGACGGAGAAGGCUAUGUUGGCCGGGCGACGGUUGUCCCGGUUUAAGCGUGUAGGCUGGUUUUCCAGGCAAAUCCGGAAAAUCAAGGCUGAGGCGUGAUGACGAGGCACUACGGUGCUGAAGCAACAAAUGCCCUGCUUCCAGGAAAAGCCUCUAAGCAUCAGGUAACAUCAAAUCGUACCCCAAACCGACACAGGUGGUCAGGUAGAGAAUACCAAGGCGCUUGAGAGAACUCGGGUGAAGGAACUAGGCAAAAUGGUGCCGUAACU